UGCGGAAUUUUAGAUAAUGGAGGGAACUCUGAUCUAGCGACGCCGCGUGCAGGAAGAAGGUCUUCGGAUUGUAAACUGCUGUGGUAAGGGAAAAAUGCUAUGUAGAGUGGAAAGCUACAUAGAGGGAUGGUACCUUACUAGAAAGCCCCGGCUAACUACGUGCCAGCAGCCGCGGUAAUACGUAGGGGGCGAGCGUUACCCGGAAUCACCGGGCGUAAGGGAGCGUAGGUGGCCUAACAUGUCAACUGUGAAAACCCGGAGCUCAACUCCGGACUUGCAGUUGAAACUGGUAGGCUUGAGGACGGUAGAGGAAGACGGAACUGCCAGCGUAGGGGUAAAAUCCUUAGAUAUUGGCAGGAACGCCGGUGACGAAGGUGGUUUUCUGGGCCGGUUCUGACACUGAUGCUCGAAAGCCAGGGGAGCGAACGG
rnacentral:rRNA from 1 species